rnacentral:rRNA from 1 species
AGAGUUUGAUCCUGGCUCAGAUUGAACGCUGGCGGCAUGCCUUACACAUGCAAGUCGAACGGCAGCACGGGAGCAAUCCUGGUGGCGAGUGGCGAACGGGUGAGUAAUGUAUCGGAACGUACCUUUCAGUGGGGGAUAACGUAGCGAAAGUUACGCUAAUACCGCAUAUUCUGUGAGCAGGAAAGCAGGGGAUCGCAAGACCUUGCGCUGAUUGAGCGGCCGAUAUCAGAUUAGCUAGUUGGUGAGGUAGAGGCUCACCAAGGCGACGAUCUGUAGCGGGUCUGAGAGGAUGAUCCGCCACACUGGAACUGAGACACGGUCCAGACUCCUACGGGAGGCAGCAGUGGGGAAUUUUGGACAAUGGGGGCAAC